GCGGGUGUAGCUCAGUUGGUUAGAGCGCUGGCCUGUCACGCCAGAGGCCGCGGGUUCAAGUCCCGUCACUCGCG
rnacentral:tRNA from 1 species